rnacentral:rRNA from 1 species
CCGGCGCACGGGUGAGUAACACGUAUGCAAUCCACCUGUAACAGGGGGAUAACCCGGAGAAAUCCGGACUAAUACCCCAUAAUAUGGGCGCUCCGCAUGGAGAGCCCAUUAAAGAGAGCAAUUUUGGUUACAGACGAGCAUGCGCUCCAUUAGCCAGUUGGCGGGGUAACGGCCCACCAAAGCGACGAUGGAUAGGGGUUCUGAGGGGAAGGUCCCCCACAUUGGAACUGAGACACGGUCCAA